rnacentral:rRNA from 1 species
CCCUUAGAUGUUCUGGGCCGCACGCGUGCUACACUGAGUGGAUCAGCGGGUCAGGUUGCGCGAAAGUGUUUCCUAAUCUUUAAAUCCGCUCGUGAUGGGGAUUGACGGUUGCAAUUGUCCGUCAUGAACGAGGAAUACCUUGUAAGCGCGGGUCAUCAUCCCGCGCUGAAUACGUCCCUGCCCUUUGUACACACCGCCCGUCGCUCCUACCGAUUGAGUGGUCCGGUGAGGCUUUGGGAUCUGAGCGGAAAGAGCGUUUCGCUGUUUCUGCCCGGAAAACUCAGUCGAACCUUAUCAUUUAGAGGAAGGAGAAGUCGUAACA